CAGGGACAGCGAUCAGUUAGAGAUCAGUGAAUUGCUGGAUCUAGCAGUUCCUGUGAGGCCUCUGUGGGCUUCUAACAUCAUUCCUACAUCUACAGCCUUAGUAACAUUUGUCUUGAAGAUCAGAGAUGGGGCAGGAGAUCCUUUAAAAGCAGUUCACGGGUGCUGAUGAGAACCAGUAGUCUGUGUUCACAAGGAGCCAUGAAAGAAAUAGGAAUGGGCAGUUGUAUUCUCUACAGUGAUUUUUUGUUCAUCAGAAGGUGAUCUGGAAAUCAAGAUAUUGCACCUUAGCUGAAGGUAGCUAAAAUCUCAGGAAUAUGACACUCCUGAAUUACUCUUAAGCCAGUAAAGACCUAAUCUACUGGGGGAGUUAGCAGAGCCAGCAGUGAGCAGAGCAGGUGAACUGAUAAACGACUUCAGCAGAACAAGAAAUUGUAAGAAUGACACCCAUUU
rnacentral:lncRNA from 1 species